AGCCUACUAAUAAAUAAUUAAAUAGGCCUAAAGUAGUACUAGAUAUUAGUUAAAUCACUAGUAUUGUGUAGGGUUAUUUUUAUUAAAAAAACAGAUCACAUCUUAUACAUUAAGGCGGGCUCAAUAAAAUAAAAAUAAUUUAUUUAGGACCUAGGCCUAUCUUUUGGAGAUCUAAAAUUCUAAAUGAAAAAUAAAUUAUUAAUUAGACCAACAAUAGGCAUAGUUCAUCCAAAAAAAAGGGAAGAUCUGAUUUUUACCAGUAAUAAGACUACAGCAUACUAAAUGACACAAGAUGUUCUUUCUCUAUUACCUCUUACAUUUGACAUAAAAGUAGGAAAAGGUUUAACAGUCUAUGCCUACAACAUAGAUCUCCAGGACUAAAAGUACACAAAAUGGCAAUCAGUAUAUCACAAGUGUAAUAACACAUGCAUCUAAUCUGCUUCAGUGGCGAGAACUGGGUGAAUCCUCUCAAACAUUAAUCAGGAACUAGGCAUACCUAAUGAGCGUCAAGCUGAUACAGUAGAUGUACAGAAGAGUUUAUACACAAGGAAGUGAAAAGUGAUGUAAAAGGCAACUAAUACUUCCAUCUACCAUAGUUAAACAAGAAUCUGCAAAUGGUGAUAAUUGCAAUAAUCUUGAUAUAUUAAUGUUUGGCUUUAUACUUUAUAAUUAUAUGCAAUUGUUUCAUAAAUAAAUUA